rnacentral:rRNA from 1 species
GGCGCACGGGUGAGUAACGCGUGGGAACGUACCCUUUAGUACGGAAUAACCAAGGGAAACUUUGGCAAUACCGUAUACGCCCUUCGGGGGAAAGAUUUAUCGCUAAAGGAUCGGCCCGCGUCUGAUUAGGUAGUUGGUAGGGUAACGGCCUACCAAGCCUACGAUCAGUAGCUGGUCUGAGAGGAUGAUCAGCCACACUGGGACUGAGACACGGCCCAGACUCCUACGGGAGGCAGCAGUGGGGAAUAUUGGACAAUGGGGGAAACCCUGAUCCAGCCAUGCCGCGUGAGUGAAGAAGGCCUUCGGGUUGUAAAGCUCUUUCGGCGGGGACGAUGAUGACGGUACCCGCAUAAGAAGCCCCGGCAAACUUCGUGCCAGCAGCCGCGG